rnacentral:rRNA from 1 species
UACGUAGGGGGCUAGCGUUGCUCGGAUUCACUGGGCGUAAAGCGCGUGUAGGCGGCUGGUCAAGCGUGGUGUGAAAUCUCCGGGCUCAACCCGGAAACUGCACCGCGAACUGGCCUGGCUGGAGUGCAGGAGAGGGAAGGGGAAUUCCCGGUGUAGCGGUGAAAUGCGCAGAUAUCGGGAGGAACACCAGUGGCGAAGGCGACUUUCUGGUCUAUAACUGACACUGAGGCGCGAAAGCGUGGGGAGCAAACAGG